rnacentral:rRNA from 1 species
AUGGAGAGCUUACCAGAAGGGUCAAAGAAGGUUGUUAUGCCACUGAGGUUUUCGAUGAAUUUACAGCAAGGGAUCCACAACAUGAAUGAGAUAAACAAGAAGUUUGAUUACAAGAACCGUCUCGACAAGAAGGACUUGGUCAUGUUGCCAGUGCUUGAGUGCGCUGAUGUGACCGAUAAGGAGGGAGGGAGGCAUUAUUGGGUCUUCAAUGUCAACUUGAGGGACGGACGCUUCGAAGUUCUUGAUUCAAGCAAGACGCUGGAUGACAUUGAGCUGAUGAUCACCGCCUCUACCAUAGCGGGGGCAGUACGCUAG